GUAGGGUGCAAGCGUUGUCCGGAAUUACUGGGUGUAAAGGGAGCGCAGGCGGGAAGACAAGUUGGAAGUGGAAACCAUGGGCUCAACCCAUGAAUUGCUUUCAAAACUGUUUUUCUUGAGUAGUGCAGAGGUAGAUAGAAUUCCCGGUGUAGCGGUGGAAUGCGUAGAUAUCGGGAGGAACACCAGUGGCGAAGGCGGUCUACUGGGCACCAACUGACGCUGAGGCUCGAAAGCAUGGGUAGCAAACAGGAUUAGAUACCCUGGUAGUCCAUGCCGUAAACGAUGAUUACUAGGUGUUGGGGGAUUGACCCCCUCAGUGCCGCAGUUAACACGAUAAGUAAUCCACCUGGGGAGUACGACCGCAAGGUUG
rnacentral:rRNA from 1 species